UGGUCUGACUUUAAGGUUGAACCUACAUUCGUAAUGGUAUAAUUAUGUUUACUUCUAUUAAAACUGAUCGAAAGUAAAUGUGUAAUUUAAAUAAGUUUUCUUUCUAAUUUCAGUCUACCAUAUAGUCAGGUACAUUUUCGUCAAGCUAGCUGCUAGCAGAGAAACCCCAAUUCAAGUCUAUCAUAGUCAUGUCGUAUCACCGAGCAUCAUGCUAGCAGAGAAAACCAAAUUCAAGUGAUAACUUAUUCGAAGCCAAAGGAGUGCGAGGGUCCAAGGUAAACCGAAGGAGGAAAAGAUCUCCGUUAUCGUUCUGUGAUAUUUUUCUGUGAUUGGAACUGUGAUUUUCUGUGGUUAAAUACUGUGAUUAAUUAGAACAUUGUCUUCUUUUUUUCAAUCUAUUUACGUCAGAAAUAAAAUUAAAUCCAGUAUAGUAGUUAAAAUAUAAAAGUGAAACUAUCGAAAUAACCGCCAAUGGCAUUAUUAUGCUUCCCGAAGGGCGAACAUAUAGUUGUCACUUUGUCCGUCCUUCCGUCCGUUCGUCUGUCCGAGCUAACUAUAAUGGGAACUUGAAUGUCUAGCAGGUUAGGAAGUGUCUAGCAGGUUAGGGUUAGGACUCUUUGUUUAUAUGAUAUGAUAGUAUAAAAAGUGUCCCAAAGUGGGUUAUGUGGUUAAAAUUGGGUUUACGUGGCUAACAUUUUCCAUUGUAUAGUCACUUAAGUAUCAUAUUGUUAGAACGUCCGUACGUCAGUCCGUCAGUCAAUACAAAUGUGUGGGAGUCCGAGCGCACGACUGGACACUCUAGUGGUUAAAUAGUGUGUCAGGAUUAGGGUUAGGUUGUUAUGAUUUUUAUUUUCUUUCAGUCCAUAUAUGAAAAGUGGUUGUUACCACUUAGUUAGAAUAUACCACUAUGCUGAAUGGGAUAUACCACUUGAGAAUACAAAUGUGUGGUCUUCCGUCCGUCUGUCACGCCAUUGAGAUGAAGUGCAGUGUCAAAGAACCAUGAUAGCUCUUACCUAGUUUUUCAAUUAUCUCACCUUUUUAUACAAAAUAAUGCUUGUCUGGAGCACAACUUGUAAAGUAUUUAU
rnacentral:lncRNA from 1 species